CCACAAUUAUAGUGCUGAAAAUAACGUUAAAUAUCAAUCAAUCAAUUAAUCUUCGACAUCCGUAAGUCAUGUAUAACGAUGCAAAUGCUACCUUUUGUUGAGAAGAAUACAAUGUUUAGUUUGAGUAUUACAGUGAAACCUGGGUAAACCGAAUCCUGCAUAAACCGAAAACCUGUAUAAACCAAACAAGUUCUAAAGCAUCGUCAUAUCAAAUUGCAUGCGAUGUUAACCUCAUUGGUUGAUAUCUUUGGCGGAAGUACUUG
rnacentral:lncRNA from 1 species